GACGAACGCUGGCGGCGUGCUUAACACAUGCAAGUCGAGCGGUAAGGCCCUUUCGGGGGUACGACGAGCGGCGAACGGGUGAGUAACACGUGGGUGACCUGCCCUCAGCUCUGGGAUAAGCCUGGGAAACCGGGUCUAAUACUGGAUAUGACUCCAUGACGCAUGUUGUGGGGUGGAAAGCCUUGUGCGGCUGAGGAUGGGCCCGCGGCCUAUCAGCUUGUUGGUGGGGNGAUGGCCUACCAAGGCGACGACGGGUAGCCGGCCUGAGAGGGCGACCGGCCACACUGGGACUGAGACACGGCCCAGACUCCUACGGGAGGCAGCAGUGGGGAAUCUUGCGCAAUGGGCGAAAGCCUGACGCAGCGACGCCGCGUGAGGGAUGACGGCCUGG
rnacentral:rRNA from 1 species